UUGAAAGUUAAUUUUGCUAGUUCUUAUACUUUCCCUUAGUUCACAGAUAGGUGGGUACACGGAUGUACCCACCAGCGAAGCCGUGCCAAGGAUGGCACGUCUGAGCGGUAUCGUCCG
rfam:Eubacterium sp. CAG:252 genomic scaffold, scf98